GGGAGAGGCUGCUCAUUGUCACAAAACCAAUCAGAAACGUCCAGUCUACCUUACACCAAUGACGCCGGUGGAUCUAAAAUGUUUACUUGGGUCCGCGGUGAGAAGCCCUACAACUGCUCCUGGCCCGACUGACAAGAAGUUCUCCCGUUCUGAUGAACAAUUCCGCCACCGGUGGACUCACACGGACGAGAAACGGUUCCAGUGCCUACUGUGUGCCAUGCGCUUCAUGUGAAACGACCACCUGCUCAAACAUGCCCAUCUCCACCCUGGCUUCGAACUGUCCAUGAUCAGUCAUUAGGGGGAGUAAGGCCUGGGGUUUAUUCAUUAGUCAGAUUCUGUUCAAAAACAUUUCUCCAAACAGAAAACAUUUAGCAAAGAAAACAAGAGUUUCUAUUGGACAAAUUCAGGUAGGUUCUGUUUGCUUCCGUUUGGUUUCUAGAGUAAACGGUAACGGUUUCUGUAGCAAAAUGUUUUGCGAAAGACCAAACGUUUUGCAAUGGAAUCCGACUAAUGAAUACACCCCUGGUCAGACCAAUGGAUAACUGGAUCUCCACUGUGGGGAAGCAGAAGUACAGGAUAGGAGAGGAAGAGUUUCUGUAGCCGUGCCCUGGUCCCAGAUCUGUCUUAAGAAAACUCCUGUGAUUAUUGUCAUGAUGCCAUACAUUCAUGUUUGGCUUGACAAGGACCACACAUGGCACAGCAGAGUUGGCUAAAGCACACAUACAGAUGGGAUCAGGUAGCCUACUUCACUCAGCCAACUCUUGGAUUUGGUAUGGUAUUUGACUGGUAAUCUGAGCUCUGAAAGCCAGGCCGAAGACAUACCAUUUUCCAACGAUUGAGAAAGCCCUUUCUGAUUACAGUUUAUUUUUGUCACUUUGGUGCAUUUCACAAGUAUAUGGUACAUUUUUACCACGCUUUGUACAGAACAUCAAAAAUGCAUUUGUUUUAAAACUCUGCAGGUUUUUCUAUUGACUAGGUUCAACACCCAAUCAGUUAUUCACCAAACUUAAACAGUGUUUCAUCUAGAAAUACAUGUUCAUAUUAAGUAGUAGCUUUUAACAAUGCAAUACUCAUUACUUUUAGUAUGAUUGUCUUCUCAUUUGUUAAAAUACAUAUAAUUGACUUAAUCCAACUGCUCUUAAUUGAUAAUCAUUUAACUAUUUGGUAAACCUAUUUAGAUUUAACAGAUUGAGAACACAAUGAAAAUGUUUGAUAAGUAUAAACACACAUACAUAUAUACACACACACAGUAAUGUACUAUUAAGACUUAUGAUUUUACUCCACAGUAAAUAAAUACAAAAAUCUGAUUGACAAGAUGUGUAAUGCAUCCCCUAUACAGUAAACAUGUAUCCAAAAUGAAGUCUUUCAGUGGGGUGUUUCACACUGCUUUGCUAAAAUUGAAUUGGCCAACACAGUAAUGUAAUACCUUAAUAAAAUGGCAUGUACAUAGGCGGCCUUUAAAACCAAAGUGACAGUGAGUCCACACAUUGUAAGUGACCCUAGAGGGAAUCGAACCCACCACUCUGGUGUUGCUAGCUCCAUUUUCUUACUACAUAACUGAGCCACACAGGACCACUACAAUACAACACAUGUGGAAGGUGUAUGAUCGGCCUUCCCGUGAGCGUGCCACCCUCCUCCAGGCCAUGGAUGAGGCAUGCAAUGACAUCAAUCCAGACCUACAGUAUGACAGGCUUUGAUUCGCCUUGCCAAAAGGGAUUUUCUGAAAUUAUGUGAAUGAGAACCUAUGGCCAAAUGCUCAAGACAGACUUUAUGUAAACUAAUGCCGCCAAAUGUCAUGUUUCUUUCAUUUAAUUACAGUACACCUACAGUGGCUUGCGAAAGUAUUCACCCCCUUGGCAUUUUUCCUAUUUUGUUGCCUUACAACCUGGAAUAAAACAUUUAUUUUUGGG